CCUGCACUCAAGUUAUGUUUUUAUUUUACAGCCUUUUGAUACCUUCAAAUUAUUCUAAACUGACUAACAAUUUAACCUGUAUAACCGGCUGGUUCAUAUUUUAAACAUUGUUCAAUGAGCAACUUAAUUAGCGCCAAAUAAAUGCCUGUCAUGGGGGCUUCCGGACACACGGUCCUGAAAAGUGUCCGUAAAAAGUGUUAGCUUUGUCGCUAGUGUUAACGUUAGCUAGCUAAUUCAACCAUGCUAUGACAACACGGUGGCAUGAAUUCCCACCAACAGAGGAGUUUCACCUCAAGGCUACCAGCCGUCUGUCAGCACUGGUAAACUGGAUAGUAAAGGAAAGAUCAAGGCUCAACAGAUCAACAGCAGCAAGCCAAUAAUGACAAAGCAGACUGAAUACUGGGAAGUUGGGAAACAAAACACAACGGCUGAGUUCACCCUGAGUCUAUAAGGGACUAAAGACAGAGGAUAUGCCUAUAAUUAGAUAGAGAGACACUGUCAAUUCCCCAUCGAUCCUCUGUGUUUUUCCUAUGCUGUGCCAGCCUGACUGCAGGGAAUACCUGCUGCUCUGCAGUCGCUAUAGACUUAGAAUUAGAUAAAGUCAUUUAGUCAUCUCUUCACUUGCAAAAGUCAUUAUUGUGCAUGUAUUCAUCUCUGGCACUAAGCAGUGACAAUUAUUGUCACCUUGCUGCUUCACUAAAACAAUACUGGAUUGUUUUGUAUUGCUUGAUCAUUCCGUCGAUGUGACUGACCAACAAAGGCAGCUAUAAUCAUUAUUAGAGUAAUUAAAGUCAUUUUGUCCAAAAAUGCCAAAAAAUCCCCUAGUUCCAGCCUCUGAAUUGUGAGAAUUUGUUGCUUUUUUGUCUUAUGUGAGAGUACACUGAAUAUCUUUGGGGUUGGCACUGUUGGCUGGACCAAACAAGACAUUUGAAGAUGCUACCUUGGGCUU